CCUUUUUUUUUUUUUUUUUAACAAAACAAAACUUUUCAUCUUUUACGAUCGUGAUUCAUUAUUCCACAAUUGCUUCUCCCCUUCCAUUCAUUUUCAUCAAUUGUCUAUCUCUCUUUCGAUGAUUCAUUCAUCACCUGCUGCCUAUCUUACGACCAUCAGUUCUCACCGCUGCUGUCUGUCACCUACCUAUCGAGCACCACCUCUCACCGUUGUUGUCGACUGAUUUCCAUCUUCUUCAUUCCAGGGAGUAGAUGAGUCUCACAAGGAAGGAGUUAAUGUACUCUUCAAUUGUAUGGUUUGAUUUUUUCUAUUUUCAAAUUUACCCUUUGUUGCCACCAAUUACUUCAACACGUUAAGAGAGUAACUGCAACAUGCAACAAUAUGAAGAAGCGAAUAUAUACAAUUGUUAAAGGCAAAAACAAACUUAACGGUAAAAAAGAGUUUUCAGCCAGUUUUAAUAGUUUAGUUUUUUUUUAAUAAACCGCACAACAAAGGAGGUUAUCAGAUUUAAUCUUUACGCUACUGACCCACAUAAAGAGCUGAGUGAAAAAGAUAGAAGGGGAGAUGGAGCACCAAGCAAGUCACCGGAGAAAGGUUGUUUGGUUGUCGUAAAUGUGAAGAAGUAAAAGGAGGGGAGGGGAGUUUUGUCUACACGACAAAAUAUAAGAACAGCAGGGGUGGUUGGAAUUACUUAUAUGCGGUAUUCAACAAUUCAUAUGCAUGAACAAAAAUACAAUUUUAGCUUUGGUGCUUGAAUGCAAAAACCAAUUCAGGCACUUCUCAAUUGGGGAAUACAAACUUUGGUAACAAUUCUAAUUUAUCUCUUCAUCAAUAUUACCUUUUCAAUGGUUGUUUUAAAUUGUUAUUUUUUUUCUUAGGGUGUAGGGACCAGAUUAGAAGUUCUAAUCCCAAAAGAGAUAAGGCGUCAAAGGAGAAACUCACACCAACAUAAUAGACAAUAGUUGCAAUUUAAUUCUAUGUGUGCAUGGCUGGGUUUGUGUGUGUUGGUGACGGAUGAGAAUGUUGUAAUUUCUACUAUUUUCUUUGAUUAAUUCACUUCAAAUGUACUGCACAAAUGAGAAAUUUUUUUUUACUGUAAAGUAAAUUAUUUUCAUUGGUUGGUUUCAAUUGCAA